rnacentral:lncRNA from 1 species
CUUGAAUGACUUUCUCUUGAUCUUAGCCCCUUGACUAAAAUCAUGCCAAGAAUCAAACAAUAGUCAAUAGUAAUCACUAAGUAGGCUUUGUAUGAAAAAUGAUCACCAGAGGCCAAUAUACUUCAAAAAUCAAUUGUCUCAUAAUGCAAUCCAAGGACCACGGUCUAAGAAUUAGGGUUUUACAGAAGUUGGUUCACAAAGAAAGAGCCAAACACCAUUGUUGUUCCAAA